UGUGCUAAGCACAACACUUGAUUCAUAAUUGGCAGGUGCCGAUUUGGGUUAAGUGUUUUUCUUAGCAUUGUAUGACGGCGAAGGCCGGGUAACAGUUUAUAGCAUUAGUAUAUAGUACAAGUACUUUGGCACUUUGUGUUUUUCAAAGUCAAAGUCCAAAGUGUUGUCAGCGUAAAGUCCUUAGGAAGUCCUUAGGGAUUAUGUUGAUGUCGGGAAGCUUCGGCCGGGUAACUAUGUAGUUUGUAGUUUGCUCAAUAUAUUUUCGGAGACGGACCGACUUUACACACUUAAGACUACAAAGUUGGGCCAUGAAGCCAUGGACUUUUUCAUUGCUCAGGGACUUAGCCAAGGACUUAGCUAUAGACCUGCCAGUGGUUGUCAGUGGUAUUUCUGAGGUCGCAAGAGACGAAUCACGUGACAAUUGAUGGUAAUUGGCAAAUGUCAAGGUCAGGACAUUGGCUUGGAUAUGGGGCAUCGAGCCUUGGACAUAAUUUGGCUAAGGGAGAAGUCACGUGACCGAUGGUGAACGACACUAUAUCCAGAGAGAGGAUAGGGUGGAGGAAGAAGAUAUUGGAGGACGAGGAUUUGGGAAACCAUGGGCAGGAAAAGGGAAUUAGAGAGGAGUAUAUAAAUGGCGGAGAUGAGGGGAUUGAUUGAGGUUGUCAGUGCACAUAAAAAAGUCGUGAAAAGUAUUGGGAGGACUAGGGUAGGAGAUGGGGGACUAAAUGUGCGUGUGUGCGCAGUAGGGGACCAAAUACUCUUGAAAUCAAGCAGAUUCGAGCCGUGUUUGAAUAAACGGUGAAAUUAAAUUGAUUUUCAACGUUAUGUUAGACAUUGUGACCGGUCCGGCGAAAAAGAAAAAGAGAUAACUUACCAAGAACUGAAAAGAUCCUUCAUGAGAAAAGAACAACAACUCAGGUAAAAGCAGCUGAGAAAGGUCUACGGGCCGAGUAAAAGUAUGCCUACUCCAUGCAGAGAUUGUGGUUUGCGAUUCAGCUUGUAAUGUCUUCGGGCAUUGCAGCUGUCUCGGGGGCCAUGACUCGGUGGGACGAGGUGUUUAUCCGUCUUUUCUCAGUCUCAGUAGCCAAAUUGUUAACUGGCAAGGGUUAGGCGCCGAACAUCAGAAUCGGUGCCGCCUCAACAGUUAGCAAUAUGGGUCGUAAGACCCGAAGAGUCCUGGCGCGACAUUGUGUCGUCGUCUAGGCAAGGUUGGAUUUUGUGGAUUACUAGCCGAUGGCAAGAAUUUACAAUAAACCAAUCGGGAGUAUCCCAGGGAAGGUAGCCGGCCGCAUUUGUUUGUGACUGUGACUUUUCCAUGGCGACUCCCUCUCAAGUCGACGAUGUUAAACCUUUGAAUUGAAUUUUUCAAAGUGUUUGACAGAAAUCGAUUAGAGGAACUCAAAAAAGGCAAACGGAUGCAGUUUCUGAGGGCGUCAGUAAAAUGACAAACUUGAGAAUCUGCCUAUCAACAUGACAUUUUGUUGUGAUUGAUGGAAACUUUGAAAACUUCCCUCUCCUUCGGGAGAGUUUAGACUUACAAUCUGCUUCGGCAGUUUGUAAGUUUAAGGAUAGUUAUCUGGUUGAUCCUGCCAGU
rnacentral:rRNA from 1 species